rnacentral:misc_RNA from 1 species
GAUGAAGAACGUAGCGAACUGCGAUAAGUAAUGUGAAUUGCAGAAUUCAGUGAAUCAUCGAGUCUUUGAACGCACAUUGCGCCCCCUGGCAUUCCGGGGGGCAUGCCUGUCCGAGCGUCAUUGCUGCCCUUCAAGCCCGGCUUGUGUGUUGGGUCGUCGUCCCCCCCGGGGGACGGGCCCGAAAGGCAGCGGCGGCACCGCGUCCGGUCCUCGAGCGUAUGGGGCUUUGUCACCCGCUCGAUUAGGGCCGGCCGGGCGCCAGCCGGCGUCUCCAACCUUCUAUUUUACCAGGUUGACCUCGGAUCAGGUAGGGAUACCCGCUGAGUUUAAGCAUAUCAAUAAGCGGAGGA